rnacentral:lncRNA from 1 species
UUUCGUUUCAGCUUUAGCUAUUUAGAUUAUAUUUAUUUUUAUUGGGUUUGCAUGCCCAAAAGUUGAACCCAUAUAACUCUAUUUUAGAUACUCCAUGGUGUUAGUGUAGGAUUUGGGAUACAGAAUUAGUUCAAGAGUGAUUGUUUAAUUUCUAGUUUAAUUAUGAAUUUUUAUUGAAUUAUUAUUCGUUAUUUAUUUAUGGAUUGAAUUUGCACAUACCUUAU